GGUCGGGUAGCGAGCAGUUAUACAAUACCUCUAUCCGAAGGGGGAAACCUGCUGGCCGUCUACUUGCGGUGUUCAAGUGCCCGAUCGCCCAUCU
rnacentral:ncRNA from 1 species